CAGGAGCCGCUUUCCUGCCGGGAGCCGCGCUCCGUCCGGGGCCGGCAGCGAGCGCGGGGUUCGGCCGCUCCAAGUUCGGCGGUGCCGUGGCUCGGAGGCGCUUUGGAGGCGUUGAUGGCAUCGCUGGGUUCGGUUUGCAGCGGGUGUCCGCUAAGGGACACGGUGUUCUUCCUGAGUGGGCACGGUUCUCGGUGCCGGGUACUGAGAAAAUACGUCUCCCUUAGAGUCCCACGGAAAGGUUCUCAGUGCGCUCUCUAUCAAGUGCUAUGAGUCUUGAUAAAUUGGAGAAGAGCCCAAGAGAAAUUUUUCAUCCCUUGAUAUAAAAGGGAUCGGUGAAUUUUAACUUUGGAGUCCCCUAUGCUAAGGAUGCUCAGCUUACAGGUGAUGAAAUGUUCAGUAAUGUAUUUGCUGCAGCUCUGCUUACCCAAGCUUUGGGUUCCUUCUGUCCCACUGGGAGUUGCCCAAUUUGGUUGCAUCUGGUGAAAUUCACCCUGAGACCUUACAGAACCAGCUCCAACUACGUGAGAGCCAUUUGCAGUUCUCUCCAGACGCCUGGAGAAUGGGCGACGUUUCUGAGGAUCCGGCGAGCGUGCUUCUAUCAAAACUCAGUCUGUGAAAUUCCUGGGGAAAACCCUUCUGUGUCCUGAAGGGUUCAAACUCUGGUGAGGAUCCAGUUAUCAGGUGCUCACCUGGAUGGUUCCAGCUCCCAAAGGGAAAGACUCUCGUAUCCUUGUCGUCGGGCUCAGUGCUGUCCAAGAAGAUACAGAGACUAAAAAAAUCAUAAGAAGCAAAAUAUGACUGCAGGGAAGAGAAGCUGGAGAGAACAGAAGACUCAUCACGGCGGGACAGCGUGAGGACUGAAAGUGUAAGAAGAUGUGGAGGGAAAGAGAGAAUCUGACAGGAGCAUCGGACGCACGAGUGCAGGAAUUUUGCUUUUUUGCUUGGAUGUAAACUCAGGCGUUGAAAGGAAUUUGGGAGUGAGAAGGGACAUUUCAGAAGGAGAAGAAGCAAAAGAAGUUGUUGUUGUUGUUACAGUCCUGGCAAAAUCUUUUGUUCUAGCUAAUAAAAGAAGUUAGUUUAAAAAACAAA